rnacentral:lncRNA from 1 species
GCAGCCCAGUCACUAUUAGAAUAACCAAUAACAUUGAAAUCAUUGCAAUCAAAAUAAAAGGGACCCAGAGAAGGAGACCCUUUAGAUAUCUCAAGACAUGAGGAGCAACAGUCAUGUGGGGGAGUCUGGGGCAUUUGAGGAAUUGACUCAGAUGUUGCACAGCAAAACAGAUGUCAGGCCUAGUAUGGGUCAGAAAUAGGAGCUUACCAACAAGACUCCUAUACUGAUCAGGAGAAGGUAAAAGGUCACCAGAAUCAGCAAGUAAUUUUGCAUUGAUGUCCAAAGGAUAGACAACAAGACUCCUAUACUGAUCAGGAGAAGGUAAAAGGUCACAAGAAUCAGCAAGUAAUUUUGCAUUAAUGUCCCAAGGACAGACAACAGAAGAGACAUUGACGCAGUCAAAAUGUUGCAGCAAAUCACAAAUAUAUUUGUGCUGAUUAAGGAUCAUUCCACCAGGAACAGAGGACAUCUGAAUGCCUAAAAAGUAAUGUAAGGACCCAAGGUCCUUAAUUUUAAACUGAACAUCCAGAAACAGUUUCAAAGCAGCAAUUUCAUCACAGUCAUCCUCAGUAAU